rnacentral:tRNA from 1 species
GCCGAAGUGGUGGAAUUGGUAGACACGCUACCUUGAGGGGGUAGUGGCGCAAGCCGUGCUGGUUCGAGUCCAGUCUUCGGUA